rnacentral:rRNA from 1 species
AACGUACGCUGGCGGCACGCCUAACACAUGCAAGUCGAACGAAGUAGCAAUACUUAGUGGCAGACGGGUGAGUAACAUGUAGGUAUCUGCCCUUUGGCCUGGAAUAACACGAGGAAACUUGUGCUAAUACCGGAUAAGUCUUUACGGAGAAAGCUUUAUGCACCAUUGGAUGAGCCUGCACUUGAUUAGUUUGUUGGUGGGGUAAUGGCCUACCAAGACUGUGAUCAAUAGCUGAUUUGAGAGGAUGAUCAGCCACAUUGGGACUGAGACACGGCCCAAACUCCUACGGGAGGCAGCAGUGGGGAAUCUUGCACAAUGGAGGAAACUCUGAUGCAGCGAUGCCGCGUGAGUGAAGAAGGCCCUUGGGUUGUAAAGCUCUUUCGUCGGGGAAGAAAAUGACUGUACCCGAAUAAGAAGGUCCGGCUAACUUCGUGCCAGCAGCCGCGGUAAUACGAAGGGACCUAGCGUAGUUCGGAAUUACUGGGCUUAAAGAGUUCGUAGGUGGUUGAAAAAGUUAGUGGUGAAAUCCCAGAGCUUAACUCUGGAACUGCCAUUAAAACUUUUCAGCUAGAGUAUGAUAGAGGAAAGCAGAAUUUCUAGUGUAGAGGUGAAAUUCGUAGAUAUUAGAAAGAAUACCAAUUGCGAAGGCAGCUUUCUGGAUCAUUACUGACACUGAGGAACGAAAGCAUGGGUAGCGAAGAGGAUUAGAUACCCUCGUAGUCCAUGCCGUAAACGAUGUGUGUUAGACGUUGGAAAUUUAUUUUCAGUGUCGCAGGGAAACCGAUAAACACACCGCCUGGGGAGUACGACCGCAAGGUUAAAACUCAAAUGAAUUGACGGGGACCCGCACAAGUAGUGGAGCAUGUGGUUUAAUUCGAAGAUACGCGCAGAACCUUACCAACACUUGACAUGUUCGUCGCGACUCUAAGAGAUUAGAGUUUUCGGUUCGGCCGGACGAAACACAGGUGCUGCAUGGCUGUCGUCAGCUCGUGUCGUGAGAUGUUGGGUUAAGCCCCGCAACGAGCGCAACCCUCACUUUUAGUUGCCAUCAUUAAGUUGGGCACUCUGAAAGAACUGCCAGUGAUAAGCUGGAGGAAGGUGGGGAUGACGUCAAGUCCUCAUGGCCCUUACGUGUUGGGCUACACACGUGCUACAAUGGUAUCUACAACAGGAAGCAAGACUGCGAAGUUAAGCAAAUCCCUAAAAGAUACCUCAGUUCGGAUUGCACUCUGCAACUCGAGUGCAUGAAGCUGGAAUUACUAGUAAUCGUGGAUCAGCGUGCCACGGUGAAUGCGUUCCCGGGUCU